rnacentral:misc_RNA from 1 species
GAUGAAGAACGUAGCGAAAUGCGAUACGUAAUGUGAAUUGCAGAAUUCAGUGAAUCAUCGAGUCUUUGAACGCACAUUGCGCCCCCUGGUAUUCCGGGGGGCAUGACUGUCCGAGCGUCAUUGCUGCCCUCAAGCACGGCUUGUGUGUUGGGCCUCCGUCCUCCUCCCGGGGGACGGGCCCGAAAGGCAGCGGCGGCACCGCGUCCGGUCCUCGAGCGUAUGGGGCUUCGUCACCCGCUCUUGUAGGCCCGGCCGGCGCUUGCCGACACAUCAAUCUUUUUUCCAGGUUGACCUCGGAUCAGGUAGGGAUACCCGCUGAACUUAAGCAUAUCAAUAAGCGGAGGA